CCUACGGGUGGCAGCAGGCGCGAAAACUUUACAAUGCGGGAAACCGUGAUAAGGGGACACCGAGUGCCAGCGUCAUACGCUGGCUGUCCGGGUGUGUAAAAUACACCUGUUAGCAAGGGCCGGGCAAGACCGGUGCCAGCCGCCGCGGUAACACCGGCGGCCCGAGUGGUGAUCGUGAUUAUUGGGUCUAAAGGGUCCGUAGCCGGUUUGGUCAGUCCUCCGGGAAAUCUGAUAGCUCAACUAUUAGGCUUUCGGGGGAUACUGCCAGACUUGGAACCGGGAGAGGUAAGAGGUACUACAGGGGUAGGAGUGAAAUCUUGUAAUCCCUGUGGGACCACCUGUGGCGAAGGCGUCUUACCAGAACGGGUUCGACGGUGAGGGACGAAAGCUGGGGGCACGAACCGGAUUAGAUACCCGGGUAGUCCC
rnacentral:rRNA from 1 species